AGCACAAAACUCAAUAUAAUCGAAAGUGAGGAUAACAUAUGCUUUGGAAAACUCGUGGUGGUACAAAACUAACCGAAAUUUUCUCUAAAUUCUAUGGGACUUGGACCAAGUUAAUGGGGUUUUUUUUUGAUAAAAAGUUAAUGGGAAUUAGAAUACAUUUGUUUCAUAUUUAUUAUUUUUCCAUCUAGUUUCGCAUGUCGAAUCAAUUGCUUCUACUGAUCCCCUUCACGGUAGCAUUGAGUGUCCACAACCUCUGAAAUUAAUUUCUUCAACUCGUAAAAUACAGCCGAAUCACAUACAUUCCAGGUCUAUGGGCCGGGGCAUCGUAGCUACACUCCGUUUUCUUAAUUUUUUUUUUACAUAUUAGAUUAGUCAACUUCUCUCUCCUUCCUCCUCCCUUAAAAAAGGCAAUUUAUGGUGCUCUAAGUUACGCUUCUCCGGCAACCGGCCUCGGCCAGAUUCCGCUGUGAGAGGGCUCUCUUCUUCGUCUCUUCUCUUCCGCUUUUCGAUACCUGAGACGGUGGCUUGAGGGUGGAGCUUUUCAAGGCGGUAGCAGUGGUGUUUGCACGGUGGUGGUAAGGAGUUUUGGCCGGAUCUAUAGCUACAUGCAUCAGAUCUGAGGGAUCGGUGAUGGCGCAUACCCCAAGCUCUCUCCGGCUCUUUUCUUCUUGCUCAUGGUGGUCGAGUGUUCUUCGGUGGAAGUGACACGACAGUUUCGGGUUUAAUCUUGGUGAUAACAUGACGUGGAGGGGUUGGUCUCCUUAUAUCUGGACCUUCGGCGGUCUGACUCUCGGUUUUCGGUCUCCUUUGAGGAUGGCAGAUGGAGCUGAGUCGGAGAACCUCUAGAGGCGGUGGAGGUGAGUGGGUCGCGGGGGUGCGGUCUAGAUAUAUCCAAACAUCCGCAAUUUUGUUUUAUUAAGGGUCCAACUGGUGUGAAUAUUAGGAAUGAGUAGGGAAAAAAAUACAUAGGAAUAAUAUUAGAGGAAUGAAAAGAAAAAUGAUUCUUUAUCAAUUUUAGUAGGAACAAAUUUGUUCUAUAUUCCUCUAAAAUAGAAAGAAUGAGAAGGAAUGCAAAUAAAAAAUAAUUCCUUGUAAAUGGAAAAAAAAAUUAGGAAAAAUAAAAAAUGUAUUAUUCUCUUUCAUUCCUUUCAUUCCUUGAUCACCAAUUACACCCUAAGUCUACAAAUAUGAAUUUCUACAAACAGUGUUAUUUGCAUGAAGGAAUGCUUAUUUUGGACCUAACUGAGUCAUUCAAUACAGAGAAUGCUUAACUGACCCUUCUGUAAUUUAAAAAAAAAACAAACAAACUCAUCUGAUUUAGUUAAUGUAAGUAAUCGCAUUAUUAGAAAUUAAUAAUAAUUGUUAAGAGAAGAAAUAUUAAUCUUCAAUGAAGAUGAAUUCAUACAGUAUCUAUAAUAAUAAAGCUGAGUUUUCUCUCACCUCAGCCCUCCACAUCAGUACAUAGCAUGAGGCUUUUGUUGACACCUGUCCAAAAAGCUUAGCCAAUCAAAACCUUUGGCAACAAACAGGUCAUUCAGUAUUGAGAUGCGUUUUCUCCUACGCUUCGUUUUCUCUAAUCAAAACUGUAGUCUAUCAUCUCGCUUCAUAUCCUUCUCGAUGGCUCAGCCUUUCCUGUCACCUCUUUCCAAACUCCCCUUUCGCUUUGAUUUUCUUCAGGCCCUAACCAGCAAUCGAGCAAUAUAUCAGGUUUCCUUUCUAAAUCUAAUACCCACCGCUCUACACUUCAUUCCGUCGAAACACUUUCCAGGGUUUCUGUUUUGUUGUGUGAUCAUGAGACUCAAGAGAUUGAAGGAGCGACCUUAUAUGAUUCUAUGUCUACGAUGAGGAUGAGUUUGAUGACCCCAAAACAAAUAUGAAACAAACGAUGAUAUUUAUUGAUUACCGCCCAAGCUUCACUCUUUGUUUUGUUUUGUUUUGUGUUUUUUUCCUUUGUUACACUCAUGCUGAUUACUUCCUAAUUAAUUGAGUUCUCUGUGGUUUAUUAUUUUUUAUGUGUGGAAAGGAUCUCACUUUGAGUAAUAGCUCCAGCAAAAGGUACAACUUCUCUUUUGAAUUUGAUACUUGAUCUGCUUUCAUUACUGGGACUCCAAAUCAACUUAUAUUAGGCUAACAAUCUCUCUUGCCUGUUCAAUUGCUAUUAAUCUCGAUUCUGGAGAGUUUCUCGUCGUCAAACAGGUUAAUUUGAAAACUGUCUGAUUUUGAAUACUGUAAUUUUACUCUGCAAUUUGUUUUAAAAUUCCCCUCUCUCCCUGAAGUUUGAUUCUUAUGAUGAGUUUUUCGGUGAUCUGUGGGCUCUCCAAGCUCAUUCGUUCUACAUCUCAUCACCUUAAUUUGUUUAAUUACUCACGUAUUCUAUAAUUUUUUUGGGUGUUUACUCUAGCGUUAUUAUUGUUGUUUUUAUUGACUGGAUUUUAGUUGCUAAUAAACAUACAUGUUUCUUUGUUGAUAUUGUCCUCCGACUUCUCUUUCAUCAUAUUAUCUUAGUUAUUUUUUCUCUACAAUGAUUUGAUUUAUUCAUGACUUUCCUACUUUUGUUCAUCAUAUUCAGAAGCUGGAAAAGAAAGUUAAGCUUCUCAAGAAUCACUCACAUCCAAAUAUAGUUGUAUUUACGCACAUUGAGAGAAUGAAACUUUGAACAUCUUCUUCCAUAUCAUACUAUAUUCCAGAGCGUCGAAAACCAUGGCGAAUCCUCAAGUUCUUUUGUAUGAGUUGAACGUUGAUUGGCGCAAGGAAAUUGCAGAGGCCAAACGUCGGUGUCAGUGUUUUGGAUAGAUUUGCCAACCUCCUUUAUAUAUGGUUCCUUUACUUGUAUGAUUAACGAUUGUUAGUUAACUUUUUAGACACAGCAACAUCCUUUAUAACGUAUGUGUUUUUAACAACUUAGCCACUACCGACCACCACUUCCAGACUUUGGAGGUCAUGGAAGGGAUAACCAGCCUGGUGAUGACAUGCUUGGAGCUGGAGCGGUUAAAACCAAUCCUACUGAUAGGUUUAACAGUGCAUCGCCUGAGAAAAUACCUGAUGGUGAUAACGCUGGAAUGCUUUAAGAAAGUGCUGUCGGCCCUGCUCUUCCAACUGUUCUGUCUCGAUAAAUCAACAGAUAAGAAAUUAAGAAUGAACCACUAAUGGAGGAGAAGGUUGAAGGGAAGAAGCCACACGUGACUUAACUUCACAGGCUUAGGAGAGCCAAAGGUCAGAAUGGACAACCUCUACUCCUUCGCAUUUCUGUUUUUAAAUGUUUCCACUUUGACUUUGUCUACUGUUUCCUGAAAUUAAACCAGCUGCUGGUUGUGUUUUAACUUUUAGUUGUAGUUGUUACAAGGGAAAGGUAUUCGUUAUAUGUUCAUAAAUAAAAGUUCCUUUAAAUC